AGGUCCUAGAAAGGAAGCAAACGCUGCUUUCCCAGUCAAGUCAGAAAGCAGGACGCACAGGGUCGCAGGUCAGAAGUUGAAUUGCAACCCAGCCAGCGCUACGUCCCAGCGCCUUCCGCAGCCCGGGUAUCGCCGUGGCACCGGGCUAGGAGAGAACAAGGCUGGCUGGGGCAGGAGAAACUGAGAAAAUGAAGAAGACACUGUUUCAUGGACACUGUACCUCUGGCCUAUUUGAAUAGAGAUAUUAUUUUUUCCUCACUUUUUCUCAUGCAGCUUUUGUUACAGAUGUACCUGGGCUUCCCUGGUUGGUAAAGAAUCUACCUGCAAUGCAGG